UUCACGAGGUAAUAUUGACCGGGCGAAAGAAUCCCUGAGAGCGCCGUUGUUUGCCACGAAGUGCCGGCCGACGAAGCGUAUUGGACCGACCAGCCUGUUAAAUCCACACUCGCGUUGCUACGAUUGAAUAUCUCGAUGAAAUCGUUCGUGUACGGCGCGUCCACAUUGCCUCCGCCACCAUAAACCUGACUGAUUACCACGGCACCCGGCGCCGGGGACGGCGGAGUGACAGUCAACGAAAUAGACCCUGAACCCGAUCUGGCUUCCGCGUCGGUGACGCUGAGGGGAAGGCUCUUAGCC
rnacentral:misc_RNA from 1 species